GCAAGGCAGAGUAAGAUGGCUUAGGAUUGGUUAUUCUGAAAAUUUCAGAACCUAGGGCUCUGGAGUCUAGGGGCUGCCCAUCAUUGUCUGGUGCGGGGCCUUGGAAUGAUUAGGGCAGAGGAAUAGUGGCCCAGAGUGUGAGAGUCCCAGAGCGGAGGGGUGGGGCGGGUGCUCUGGAGUGGUUGGUUUGCAUGUGAAAGGCACGCUUAGAGACCAGUCCUUUACUAUCCCUAGGAAUUGAGGAGCCCUGGGAGGCGUGGUCUCUCCAGGGUCCGCAAGGCCUCCAGAUGUCAACGCAUCCGAAACACAUGAUUGAUGUGGGAAUUCAUGCAACGUCGCUGGGAAUUUGAAACCUGGUGCUCAUCUGGAGAUCAUGGUUGGGAAGAGGAGGCAGGAGCGUCGUCUGAGCUGGCUCAUGAGGGGAGUUUCAGCGUGUCGUGUGGCCCCUUGUUACAGGGCCUUUUGCCAAGGCUGCUCUUGGAGCCUGCCAAUAGCAUCAUGAAGACUCUGCACUCCUCGCAGUGACGAUGCUACAAACCCAGAAGGAGCAACUGCCUCAUCUCUGUUUCUCAGUGUAGAGAGUAAAUUGCACAAUGAGCCCUUGCCUCUGUCAUCUGCCUUCCCCUAGCUCCUUGACCCAGACAACACAGCCCUGUUCCUCCAUCUCCCA
rnacentral:lncRNA from 1 species